AAGAGAAGACUUUUACUUUCUCUUUUCUUCUUCUUUCCUCUUCUUCUCUUCUUCUUCUCUUUUUCUUCUCGUUUCAUCUUUCUUUUCUUCUACUGCUUUGAGAGUCGACUGUGAGGUUCGGUUUGAGAGAUCAAAACAGAAAAUUUGUGAUCAGCAGAAGGUAGAGAAGAUCAUGGAAUAGUUUAUGGUGAUGUUAUGAUUGUUUUUGGUUGAUUCAAGCUCAAAAGAAGAGGUGAAGUAGAGAAAGAAUAUUAGGUUUUUUUGAGAGAUGAGUUCGAUUAAGGAUUUAUGUGAUAUUAAAGAUGAAAUCAAGUAAAUUAAGAUGGGUUUAUGUAUAAUUGAGUUAUGAAGUUGAUUCAGUGAAGAUCGAGGGGUUAGGGUUUCUGCAUGUGGUGUUGGAAUUCGAUUUGAGUAAGAAUUAAGAAGAUAUAUACGGAAUUAAAAGAUGGGUUUGCUUAAUUGAAGAGUUGAUGGGUGUUUUGAGUUUGAAUUAGAGAUUGAAGGCAGUUAGGUUUCAUGUGUUCUUCCCCAAAGUGGAAGUAGGGUUUCAGUAGAAUUGAAUUAGGGGAAAAGUAAUUAUGUGGAUGUUGGUUCUUGGGUAAGAUUCUAAUUUUAUUCAAGAUUGGAUUUUUAGUUUAAAUUGCUUAGACUAUUGAAUUGCUACAUUGUAAAUGGUACUGUUUUGAGUUAUGAGUUGUUAUUGAAGAUAUAAUGAAAUUGGGAUUGUUUUGGAAACUUGGUGUUGAGAGAAGGGUAUGGAUUGGAACUAUGUUUUGUAUUGAAUUACAUGGAGGUAGGUUGAAUGUUGUAAUCCAGUGGCUGGUGGGGUAUGGAGUCAGAGUUGAAUUGCUAGAGGUUUAGGAACUAAGGGAAUUGGUGAAGAUGCUUGAAAGGAUGAUCUGUGCAGUGAGAUAGAAAUACAUUUUGGAGUGUAAUCUGUGUUGAUAGUGGUUGGUGAGUUACAAAGACAUGGGUGAUGAAAUUGAACUGUGGUUGUAGUUUAGUAUGUAUUAGAGAUGAUAUGAGUAUUUUUCCUGAGAAGAUGUACAUGGUGGUGGCUUGCUGAGAUAAACUAAUUGAACUAAAGUGAUGAGUCUAGAUGAUUGAUUGUUGGGUCUAAUGAUUACAUAGAGUGGAUAUUUUUGGUUUGAAAUUAUAAUUAUAAGUGAUGUUGUUUGUGUUGGCUCUUAACUGUGGAUAACAGGUGGUGGCGGUGAGCUGUGUGGGUAGUUUGAAGAUGAUUGUAAGUAUGAAGCUUUAGAGUUGCAGUCACAACUUAAGAGUUGUUGGUGGUUUAGAAUUAGUGUUCUGUGACCAGAGAAUAAUGAAGAUGGGUGCUGCGGAGUAGAGAAGAUAGGGUUGUGGUUGUUUAGGAAUUAUUGUGGUUGAGAUUAUAAUUUGGAGUUGUGUUUAUUUACAGGGAGGAGAGUUGUAUCACAUAGAACUGUUGGAGUUAGUAUGGUAACUGGAGAUGGUGUUGUUUGUGAAGACGAAGUAAAAUGGAUUUGAAUAGAGCUGAAAUAGGUACACUAUUGGUGGUAGUGAGUGUGGUCUCAACUGAAGUGCAGAUGGAGUCAUAAUGUUUUGGUAUUACUGAAAUUGGAGAUACCACUGUAAGUAAGGGAUAUGGUGGUUGUAUUAUAUGAACUGGUGGUGUUGAGAUGAUUAAAUCUAGAACUGAUAUUUAUUGGUGGUAAUGGAUGUGUAGUGUGGUUUGAAAUGGAUUUGAACCUCUCUUGUAAAAGCUUGCAACUUCUGCUAUUGCAGUUAAUCUAUAUUAACAACGAUAGAUGCAAAGGAUGAACCAGUGGAUCGUGGAUCUCGAUGUAGGCGUGGCUUGUCAUCAGAAGAGUUUCAGAGACAGAUCAGAGUUGCGCAGCAAAAGCUUCAAGGGUCGAGUUCUUUAGUUGUUUAACUUCUGAUAUGUUUAUUAUGUUGCAUAUUAUAUUUGUAAACCAAACAACUAUUGUAUAUGUAUCAGUUGAGAGAAGUUCUUGUAUAUAUAUAUAUUUCUGAACGGGGCUAGUUUUGGGUUAAGUUUUGUGGUAGAUUUCUUAAUUGAAUAUUUAAGUAAAUGUUUUGGAUUCAUAGUGCCUCUUUAUUUAGUUAAUCUCUUGGAUUAGUCAACUGCUAGCUUUGGGGGCGCUACAGUGUUGGUAUCAGAGCUCAUUAUUAGAUCUUAUAUGGGAAACAAUAGGAAUAGUCAGUUCCAGUUAGGGAAAUAGAUUGGUUUAUAACUGGGUUGGGCUGUGAGAUAAAUCUUAAUCACUAAAAGCUAUCAAUAAUUAAAAGAUUUA